rnacentral:rRNA from 1 species
GAUGAACGCUGGCGGCGUGCCUAAUACAUGCAAGUCGAGCGAACGGACGAGAAGCUUGCUUCUCUGAUGUUAGCGGCGGACGGGUGAGUAACACGUGGAUAACCUACCUAUAAGACUGGGAUAACUUCGGGAAACCGUGGCUAAUACCGGAUAAUAUUUUGAACCGCAUGGUUCAAAAGUGAAAGACGGUCUUGCUGUCACUUAUAGAUGGAUCCGCGCUGCAUUAGCUAGUUGGUAAGGUAACGGCUUACCAAGGCAACGAUGCAUAGCCGACCUGAGAGGGUGAUCGGCCACACUGGAACUGAGACACGGUCCAGACUCCUACGGGAGGCAGCAGUAGGGAAUCUUCCGCAAUGGGCGAAAGCCUGACGGAGCAACGCCGCGUGAGUGAUGAAGGUCUUCGGAUCGUAAAACUCUGUUAUUAGGGAAGAACAUAUGUGUAAGUAACUGUGCACAUCUUGACGGUACCUAAUCAGAAAGCCACGGCUAACUACGUG